rnacentral:rRNA from 1 species
UACGUAGGGGGCUAGCGUUGUCCGGAAUCAUUGGGCGUAAAGCGCGUGUAGGCGGUUCGGUAAGUCCGCUGUGAAAGUCGGGGGCUCAACCCUCGAAUGCCGGUGGAUACUGUCGGGCUAGAGUGCGGAAGAGGCGAGUGGAAUUCCUGGUGUAGCGGUGAAAUGCGCAGAUAUCAGGAGGAACACCGGUGGCGAAGGCGGGUCUCUGGGCAACAACUGACGCUGGAGGAGCGAAAGCGUGGGAGCGAACAGG